rnacentral:rRNA from 1 species
GACGAACGCUGGCGGCGUGCCUAAUACAUGCAAGUAGAACGCUGAAGAGAGGAGCUUGCUCUUCUUGGAUGAGUUGCGAACGGGUGAGUAACGCGUAGGUAACCUGCCUUGUAGCGGGGGAUAACUAUUGGAAACGAUAGCUAAUACCGCAUAACAAUGGAUGACACAUGUCAUUUAUUUGAAAGGGGCAAUUGCUCCACUACAAGAUGGACCUGCGUUGUAUUAGCUAGUAGGUGAGGUAAUGGCUCACCUAGGCGACGAUACAUAGCCGACCUGAGAGGGUGAUCGGCCACACUGGGACUGAGACACGGCCCAGACUCCUACGGGAAGCAGCAGUAGGGAAUCUUCGGCAAUGGGGGCAACCCUGACCGAGCAACGCCGCGUGAGUGAAGAAGGUUUUCGGAUCGUAAAGCUCUGUUGUAAGUCAAGAACGGGUGUGAGAGUGGAAAGUUCACACUGUGACGGUAGCUUAGCAGAAAGGGACGGCUAACUACGUG